CCACCUGAAUUUCUCAAACACCAGCCCGGGAUUUGAGAGCUGGAGAGGCCCUGAUGUAUCAGCAGUCACGAUAGAUUGUGGGAAAGGCAUGUGAAAAGUGAUGGGAAUGAGAUGAAGGAGGUGUCGAGGAGCAAGAAUUCCCGUCCCCUUGAAGGUCCUUGUAGCUGGAUUAGGAAUCAGAUUGACACGAGACAGAAUAACAGGAGAAAACCAAAUUUUACAGGUGGAAAAACCAUCAGCCUGGAAAACAGAAGUGACCUCUGCAAGGCUAGGCCACCAGAAAAUGGCAAAGCUGGGGUUAAAGUCCAGAUCUUCUGAAUUCCAGUGCUUUGUUCCUCUCUGGCACCCUCAUUGUCUUUCAGUUUGGAGUGUUGCAGGAUUUUAAUUUUUAGGUGAUUCUGAUUAUCAGCCAGAGUUGGAGCCACUACUGAAGGCUCUGAUGUCAUCGGGCAAACACAGAAGCAGGUGGAAAGAUCAGCGAACGAGGAGAGCCAGUUAAAUGCAAAAAAACGGUGAUAGAGGGCUUUUGGGUGGUUUUUUGUUUUGUCUUUUGCUAUAACCCAUGGGAUCCUGCCAACGAUGAUGCUGAGGGUGAUUCCAAUGUUGAGGGACAAGAGAAAAUGGACUUCUGGGUAAGAUCCAUUAUCUUAAUGCAGAUGAAAUUUUCAAUAAUUACAACUUCUUGUCAAACAUGCAGGCUCAAUUGAAAUAAAGU